rnacentral:tRNA from 1 species
GCGAACGUAGUUCGGUGGUAGAACACCACCUUGCCAAGGUGGGGGUCGCGGGUUCGAAUCCCGUCGUUCGCU